GGCAAUUUUUUCAUAUACUAAAAUUGGAACGAUACAGAGAAGAUUAGCAUGGCCCCUGAAAAAACUAAAAAAAAAAAAAAAAAAAUCCUG
rnacentral:snRNA from 1 species